rnacentral:rRNA from 1 species
UACAGAGGUCCCAAGCGUUUGUUCGAAUUCAUUGGGCGUAAAGGGUGCGUAGGUGGCGCCGUAAGUCGGGUGUGAAAUUUCGGAGCUUAACUCCGAAACUGCAUUCGAUACUGCGGUGCUUGAGGACUGGAGAGGAGACUGGAAUUCAUGGUGUAGCAGUGAAAUGCGUAGAGAUCAUGAGGAAGACCAGUGGCGAAGGCGGGUCUCGUGGACAGUUCCUGACACUGAGGCACGAAGGCCAGGGGAGCAAACGGG